rnacentral:rRNA from 1 species
GACGAACGCUGGCGGCGUGCCUAAUACAUGCAAGUUGAGCGCUGAAGGUUGGUACUUGUACCGACUGGAUGAGCAGCGAACGGGUGAGUAACGCGUGGGGAAUCUGCCUUUGAGCGGGGGACAACAUUUGGAAACGAAUGCUAAUACCGCAUAAAAACUUUAAACACAAGUUUUAAGUUUGAAAGAUGCAAUUGCAUCCCUCAAAGAUGAUCCCGCGUUGUAUUAGCUAGUUGGUGAGGUAAAGGCUCACCAAGGCGAUGAUACAUAGCCGACCUGAGAGGGUGAUCGGCCACAUUGGGACUGAGACACGGCCCAAACUCCUACGGGAGGCAGCAGUAGGGAAUCUUCGGCAAUGGACGAAAGUCUGACCGAGCAACGCCGCGUGAGUGAAGAAGGUUUUCGGAUCGUAAAACUCUGUUGGUAGAGAAGAACGUUGGUGAGAGUGGAAAGCUCAUCAAGUGACGGUAACUACCCAGAAAGGGACGGCUAACUACGUG